rnacentral:lncRNA from 1 species
GGAAAAAGGUUCCGGCCUCAGCCGGCGCACCUGGCGGAGGAGGAACCUCGCGACGCGCUCUCGGGCAUCGGUUUCUCCCAGCAAAGCUUGGAGGGUUUAGCUGCGCGGAGAGCUCAGCGAGCUCUUCUGUGUCUGUUUGGGGCGUGUGGGCUCCGGGAGCGUGAGGACCGGGAAGCUAGGAGGCUCCUUCCCUUCUGGCGGCUCCCUCACUGAGACCGGGCGGUUUGGUUGCGGGGGAAGUGGAGACGAGCCACCCUUGACCUUUGACUGCAAGAACUCACCUUGAGCAGGAUAGAGGCACGUGGACGGUGACCCUCGGGAUGCAAUAAAUGCUGAGACAGAUCAGCAAACAUUGAGUGGGCCAGACACUGUUCUGAAAAAUACGCAGUCGACUUUUGAACAGCACAGGCUUGAACUGCAUGCGGCCACUAAUACUCGGACUUCCUUCUGCCUCUGCCAUCCCUAAGACAGCAAGACCCACCCCUCCUGCUCCUCAGCCUACUCGAUGUGAUGAUGAUGCAGAGAUUCAGAGAGUCUAAGCAACUUUUCUAAAUCAUCUAGCUGGAAUUCAGUAACUGAGCCAGGAUCUACCCCAGGUCUGUCUGACUCCAAAGCCUGUGUCUUCCAGCACACACUGCUGCUGCCUGGGCAGGAAUGUGGAUAUGAUGUCUGGAGCUCUAGCAACCAUAUCAGACCACAAGGAUGAAUGUACACCCCAGGAAUGGAAGAGAGGAAAGCCAGAAAAAGACUCGGUCCCUGAUGGCUGAAGAGCUACCAUACCUGCCCCUAGAUCUUCUAUUUCUGAUCAUCUUCUAUGCAAGGACAUUACUGACUUCUCCUGUUAGCUCUGUCGUGCUUACAUCAUGAUGCCCAUUUUUCAGGUAAAGAAAUAGUGGCUCAAACAAG